rnacentral:rRNA from 1 species
UUAUGAACUCAAAUCAGGCAAGAGUACCCGCUGAAUUUAAGCAUAUUAAUAAGCGGAGGAAAAGAAACUAACAAGGAUUCCCCUAGUAACGGCGAGUGAAGCGGGAACAGCUCAAGCUUAAAAUCUACAUUUUGUAAAAAGAAUGUCGAGUUGUAGCUUUUGGAGGCACUAUUGAGUGGCUAAUCUUGGUAAAAGUUCUUUUGAAUAAGGCAUCAAAGAGGGUGAAAAUCCCGUAUUUGACCAGGAAUUAAUUAGUUGCGAUAUCAAGUGUUUUCUUUGAGUCGGGUUGUUUGGGAAUGCAGCCCUAAUUGGGAGGUAAAUUUCUUCCAAAGCUAAAUAUCAGCAAGAGACCGAUAGCAUACAAGUACCGUGAGGGAAAGAUGAAAAGCACUUUGAAAAGAGAGUGAAAAGUACGUGAAAUUGUUGGAAGGGAACCGGUUGAUGACCAAGCUUUUUUGACCAGAAUUUAUUUCUGGUUAAAGGGUCAACAUCGGUUGUUUAUGACUAGAAGGGAUUUUUACCAGUUGAUGUGGGAAAUGUAUAAAGUUUGGCCGGAAUUUAUUUCCAGUUAGAUUUUAGUUAUAGACCCACGCAGAUUGGUUUUUCAAGCUCCGAUAGUCGUGGCGACCGAGGAAUGCAGUGUGUUCUCGGCGAAUUGUCUAGAUGUAUUGUAGAAUUUAUCUGGGCGUAGACAGCAUUGCUGACUAGGUCUGUUAUUUUAUAUAUAAGCUGGGGUAAUUUGACCAAAAAACACUUUGGAUGUUGGCGAAAAGGCAUCAAUCGACCCGUCUUGAAACACGGACCAAGGAGUCCAACAUGCAUGCGAGUAUCUGGGAAUUUUUUUAAACCCAUGUGCGUAAUGAAAGUGAAAAAUAAUCAUUAGUUAUGUAACCCACUCUAUGAGUGGGGCAACAUCAACCGACUUUAGAUAGCGCUGCUUGAAAAGGUUGAGUAAGAGCAUGUAUGCUGGGACCCGAAAGAUGGUGAACUAUGCCUGAAUAGGGUGAAGUCAGAGGAAACUCUGAUGGAAGCUCGUAGAGAUUCUGACGUGCAAAUCGAUCUCAGAAUUUGGGUAUAGGGGCGAAAGACUAAUCGAACCAUCUAGUAGCUGGUUCCUGC